UGUCUGUGAGUUAACAAAAAUCAGAGAGUUUUCAGUGGAUAGAGCUUGUUCCCAGUGCAGGAGGUUUUUGUACGGCCACUUCAUGAGUUUGUAUCACUGUGGUGGACUUUUGGUGGAGGAACCAAACUCAUCUUUCACUCUGUCCCAUGGUCAGGCCUCAGUCUCUCUGCUC